UGGGGAAUAUUGGACAAUGGGCGCAAGCCUGAUCCAGCAAUGCCGCGUGGGUGAAGAAGGUCUUCGGAUUGUAAAGCCCUUUCGACGGGGACGAUGAUGACGGUACCCGUAGAAGAAGCCCCGGCUAACUUCGUGCCAGCAGCCGCGGUAAUACGAAGGGGGCUAGCGUUGCUCGGAAUGACUGGGCGUAAAGGGCGCGUAGGCGGAUUAUUCAGUCAGGCGUGAAAUUCCUGGGCUCAACCUGGGGACUGCGUUUGAGACGGGUAGUCUUGAGUUCGGAAGAGGGUCGUGGAAUUCCCAGUGUAGAGGUGAAAUUCGUAGAUAUUGGGAAGAACACCGGUGGCGAAGGCGGCGACCUGGUCCGAUACUGACGCUGAGGCGCGAAAGCGUGGGGAGCAAACAGG
rnacentral:rRNA from 1 species